GAAAUGCGAUAAGUAAUGUGAAUUGCAGAAUUCAGUGAAUCAUCGAAUCUUUGAACGCACAUUGCGCUCGCCAGUAUUCUGGCGAGCAUGCCUGUUCGAGCGUCAUUUCAACCAUCAAGCUCUGCUUGCGUUGGGGAUCCGCGGCUGCCCGCGGUCCCUCAAAAACAGUGGCGGGCUCGCUAGUCACACCGAGCGUAGUAACUCUACAUCGCUAUGGUCGUGCGGCGGGUUCUUGCCAUAAAACCCCCAAUUUCUAAGGUUGACCUCGGAUCAGGUAGGAAUACCCGCUGAACUUAAGC
rnacentral:misc_RNA from 1 species